UCCGUUGUGGUCUAGGGGCUAGGAUUUGCCGCUCUCAUUGAGAGUUUCUCACGAAAGUGCCGGCAAGGCCCGGGUUCGAUUCCCGGCGACGGAA
rnacentral:tRNA from 1 species